rnacentral:rRNA from 1 species
GACGAACGCUGGCGGCGUGCUUAACACAUGCAAGUCGAACGGAAAGGCCCUGCUUGCAGGGUGCUCGAGUGGCGAACGGGUGAGUAACACGUGGGUGAUCCGCCCCUUACUUUGGGAUAAGCCUGGGAAACUGGGUCUAAUACUGGAUAGGACCAUGCUGUAGGUGGUGUGGUGGAAAGAUUAGUUUCGGUAAGGGAUGAGCUCGCGGCCUAUCAGCUUGUUGGUGGGGUAAUGGCCUACCAAGGCGUCGACGGGUAGCCGGCCUGAGAGGGUGGACGGCCACAUUGGGACUGAGAUACGGCCCAGACUCCUACGGGAGGCAGCAGUGGGGAAUAUUGCACAAUGGGCGCAAGCCUGAUGCAGCGACGCCGCGUGGGGGAUGACGGCCUUCGGGUUGUAAACUCCUUUCAGCCAUGACGAAGCCCUUGUGGUGACGGUAGUGGUAGAAGAAGCACCGGCUAACUACGUG